CUUUUCAUUCCAAUCUUCAUACACACACUUUUAUAAGGUGUGAAGUUUAUUUUGGGCAGGAUACAGAAUCUACGCAAUAAUGUCUUCCUUUUAAAAUUGGAAGAGAAAGCAGGUAUGGUGGUGAAAUCUACAAUCCCAGGACUCGGGGAGUCUGCAACAAGAAGACUCCAAUUUUGAGCCCAGCCUUGGCAACUGAGCAACUUAAAGAGACCUUGUUUAAAUUUGUGGCACAAAUGAUACCGAUCAGAAUGAUGCUCUCAUUCAAGCAGUACCUCAAGAGCGUGGACUUUCAUAAUUGUGGAGAUGGAGACUCUACAGUUACAACUGACAGAGCCUGAGUACUGAUAGUGAAAGAAUUGCCAAGGCCAGCAGUUCAAGAUCCUGCACUUUCAGGGAUCGAACUCAGGUCCUUGAGCUUGCGAGGCAGGUGCUGGAACCACUGAGCUAAAUCCCCGGCCCCUAACUGAUAUUCUAUAGGAGGAAAUGGAAGUCAGGCAAAGUAUACAUUUUUUGACUCUUUCAGACAAGCCAGAGUUCUGAUUUCACAAAAGAUAAAUGGAGAGUGUCUGAAGGCAAAAGCAAGUGGAACAUCUAAUUAGAUACAAAAAUAGUGAAAGCAAUGCCAUUUAAAGACCAUGAUUGAAGAUAUGGAUCCUACACUGUAGAUGACAAAGCAAAAAGAAAGGAAGACCUCUCUCCUGAAUUAUAUCAUUGAGCCUCUGAUCUAAUAUUGCAGCUGUUUUACUGCAGACCUCUUGCUACAUAGAAUAAUACCACUUCUUAAGCCACUGUAAGCCAGGUUUUUCUUUCACUUAUUACUUAAGGCAUUUUAGUUGACAUAGCAAGUUAAUACAAUACAAAGCAAUCUUAAUUCAGUGUAGUGUAUCCGAGAAAUAAUGAUUUCUAAAUAUAACAUUCAACCAAAAUUAAAUUAUUUCAAAUGCCUUAGGAAUACCUUGUGUAGACUAAAAUCUCUACUUUUGUUUAGAAAAGAUGUAAAUUCUAGUUCAGCUCAGUUUAAUUUUAAACUUUAGUUGCCUGUGUAUCUUAGAACAUCAUUACCCAUUCUAUCCAUAUCUCCCUCACUCACCCUCUAGCCACAGUCCAGAAUUUGAGAAGAAUUCAAAUUGGUGUGGACUUUCUUGUACUCCUUUUCUCCUUCAGCUAUAUCUGGAGUUGGGGCUGGAAGAUCAAGGAAAACAAGGGGAAAUGGUUGCUGAGAUCUGUUGAGAGAGAUUCAUCCUCUGUGUAGACCUGGUAACAGUUCUGAUAUCAGAGAGAGGAACUCUUUCUCAGACCCAUUAAGGAGGCCCAGCUCCUAAGUUUCUGAGUGGCUUUUGAGGGUGUUUUCCAUGGUCAGCCUGCUCCGAGUCAUUUGUGAAAGAGGAAAUCUGACCACCAGAAGCAGAGCAACCCAGAAGAGCCUGGAGAAGGGGGACUAAGGUGGAGACACUGCUCAAAGGCCCACUCCCUGGAACCUGCUUUCUCCUCCUGGGACCCCUCCUGACAGCGCUAUGGAGUCACCCAUGGCUUUAUUGAAAGAUUGAAAGAAUUUCUAAAGAACAAAAUUAAAAAGGAUGAAAAAUCUGGGUGACUGCUCCUACCCUUUCCUCCGAGUGCCUUGCACGGCCAUUGAGCUGACAUCCAGCUGCCAGCACCUGUGUUUCUUCGCAGAGAGGUCUCAGUCCCAUGGGUUUCACCCUGUCUCACUAACCAGGCUGGAGGUGCUGCGAUGAACACCUCCAGUGCUGGUCCCCCACCAGCACCCUACGGGAGGUGGCACAGGAGCACCCACCUCUCACUGUGCAGGUGGAAGAGCACAGAGGCACAUUUCCCUCCAAAAUAUCUGUGCUACUUUACUCAUUGUUAUAUACAUGUAAUUUAUUGUAAGGCAAACACUAUUAAUACAAAAAUGUAUGAAUGAAAUAGAAUUGAAUAAUUUAAAAGAUAUGUUAAUGCAGAGAGUAAAGAGCAGCACCAAAAUAAUUUUGUUUGAGUAGUGUUUCAAAUUACCAGGUAAUGCUAAAGGUGUUUCUUGGUCUUGGGAAAGAACUUCAACCCACUUUUAAUGCUUCAUAUGUACUAUCUAAAGUUUAAGUUGAAAAUUGUUAAGUAAAAUUUGUAUGAUUAAAACAUUAAUGGAUCAUAUAUAUAUUUUGUGUAUCAUGUGUAUAUGUAUUUUAUAAUUAUAUAGAUAUAUGUUAAAUCCUUUGUUAAUGUGUUGAAUCAGAAAAGAAUGUCCAGUACUGUACUACGGUUGGAAUUAAAAUAAGCUAAAGUUAUCUAUUACCUAGGCUUUUUUCUUACUGAAGGAUAACCAAGAGUAACAAAUGAUGAGUACAGUUCUCGAGCUUCUCUCACUGAUACAAAGUGCACACAUCUUAUUAUUUAAUUAAGGUGAGUACUUUUUCAUAAAUACAUUCUUCAUUAAAG
rnacentral:lncRNA from 1 species